rnacentral:rRNA from 1 species
UACAUGGGGUGCAAACGUUGCUCGGAAUUAUUGGGCGUAAAGAGCUCGUAGGCGGUUCGGCAAGUCGGAUGUGAAAUCUCCACGCUCAACGUGGAGGGGCCAUUCGAAACUGCCGUGACUCGAGUCCGGUAGGGGAGUGUGGAAUUCCCGGUGUAGCGGUGAAAUGCGCAGAUAUCAGGAGGAACACCGGUGGCGAAGGCGGUUCUCUGGGAAUAUCCUGACGCUGAGGAGCGAAAGUGUGGGGAGCGAACAGG